CCCGUCACACCACGAGAGUUUGUAACACCCGAAGUCGGUGAGGUAACCUUUUGGAGCCAGCCGCCGAAGGUGGGACAGAUGAUUGGGGUGAAGUCGUAACAAGGUAGCCGUAUCGGAAGGUGCGGCUGGAUCACCUCCUUUCUAAGGA
rnacentral:rRNA from 1 species